rnacentral:ncRNA from 1 species
UCAUGGUAAAAUGCAUUAACCCGUAUAAUUCCGAGAAUCGGCUGGGAAGUAUCUACCAGGAAGCCUUAACUUCCUGACUACGGGGUGGAUUUUUCAUACUU